UACGUAGGUGGCAAGCGUUGUCCGGAUUUAUUGGGUUUAAAGGGUGCGUAGGCGGCCUAUUAAGUCAGUGCUGAAAUAUCCCGGCUUAACCGGGAGGGUGGCAUUGAUACUGAUGGGCUUGAGUAGAGUCGAGGUAGGCGGAAUUGACGGUGUAGCGGUGAAAUGCUUAGAUAUCGUCAAGAACACCGAUAGUGUAGACAGUUUACUAGACUCAAACUGACGCUGAGGCACGAAAGUGUGGGGAUCAAACAGGAUUAGAAACCCCCGUAGUCC
rnacentral:rRNA from 1 species